AUUGGCUGGCAUGGUGAAAAGUAGUUACGUGGAAUACAGCCUGCUUUAGCAGGAGAUAAACUAAAUUGCAGAAGAUCACCUUCUUCAUAUACACAGAUCACACAGAUAGGAAGAAGCUACCAAACAUGGAGAAACAGAGGAUUAUUGAAGAACACGGGAGGUUGUGAUAAUGUUAUCACAAUAUUCUAGGCCUACAGACGAAGGUGAAGAGUUUGCUGCACCAUGCCUGGGUGUUAGCUACCUGCUGUGGUAGCUCUUCUUCAUUCCUGUGCAUGAAGUCCAGGUGGAGGGCAGCAAGAAAAAAAGAAUUGAGGAAUUGCUAUUGGUUUCUCCAAGUUCCCCAUCAAUGUCAGAUUCAAACCAUUUGAAGUUAUUAGAAGUGGAGCAUUCUGUUGUCAUUUUUCUCCUGUUUAUAUUGCCCCUGCAAGCAGAUAAAAUAA